CUGGUGUCAGCCGCCGCGGUAAUACCAGCACCCCGAGUGGUCGGGACGAUUAUUGGGCCUAAAGCAUCCGUAGCCGGUCAUGCAAGUCUUCCGUUAAAUCCGGCCGCUCAACGGUUGGGCUGCGGAGGAUACUACGUGGCUAGGAGGCGGGAGAGGCAAGCGGUACUCAGUGGGUAGGGGUAAAAUCCUUUGAUCCAUUGAAGACCACCAGUGGCGAAGGCGGCUUGCCAGAACGCGCUCGACGGUGAGGGAUGAAAGCUGGGGGAGCAAACCGGAUUAGAUACCCGGGUAGUCCCAGCUGUAAACGAUGCAGACUCGGUGAUGGGAUGGCCUCGAGCUAUCCCAGUGCCGCAGGGAAGCCGUUAAGUCUGCCGCCUGGGGAGUACGGUCGCAAGACUGAAACUUAAAG
rnacentral:rRNA from 2 species